CCCCGUGGGGGGUGCUUACACAUGCAGUCGAACGAUGAACCUCCUUCGGGAGGGGAUUAGUGGCGAACGGGUGAGUAACACGUGGGCAAUCUGCCCUGCACUCUGGGACAAGCCCUGGAAACGGGGUCUAAUACCGGAUACUGACCCGCUUGGGCAUCCAAGCGGUUCGAAAGCUCCGGCGGUGCAGGAUGAGCCCGCGGCCUAUCAGCUUGUUGGUGAGGUAAUGGCUCACCAAGGCGACGACGGGUAGCCGGCCUGAGAGGGCGACCGGCCACACUGGGACUGAGACACGGCCCAGACUCCUACGGGAGGCAGCAGUGGGGAAUAUUGCACAAUGGGCGAAAGCCUGAUGCAGCGACGCCGCGUGAGGGAUGACGGCCUUCGGGUUGUAAACCUCUUUCAGCAGGGAAGAAGCGAAAGUGACGGUACCUGCAGAAGAAGCGCCGGCUAACUACGUGCCAGCAGCCGCGGUAAUACGUAGGGCGCGAGCGUUGUCCGGAAUUAUUGGGCGUAAAGAGCUCGUAGGCGGCUUGUCACGUCGGUUGUGAAAGCCCGGGGCUUAACCCCGGGUCUGCAGUCGAUACGGGCAGGCUAGAGUUCGGUAGGGGAGAUCGGAAUUCCUGGUGUAGCGGUGAAAUGCGCAGAUAUCAGGAGGAACACCGGUGGCGAAGGCGGAUCUCUGGGCCGAUACUGACGCUGA
rnacentral:rRNA from 1 species